rnacentral:rRNA from 1 species
ACGGAAGGCAGCAGUGGGGAAUAUUGCACAAUGGGCGAAAGCCUGAUGCAGCGACGCCGCGUGAGCGAAGAAGUAUUUCGGUAUGUAAAGCUCUAUCAGCAGGGAAGAUAAUGACGGUACCUGACUAAGAAGCACCGGCUAAAUACGUGCCAGCAGCCGCGGUAAUACGUAUGGUGCAAGCGUUAUCCGGAUUUACUGGGUGUAAAGGGAGCGUAGGCGGUUUUACAAGUCUGAUGUGAAGGCCCGGGGCUCAACUCCGGUAUUGCAUUGGAAACUGUAGAACUAGAGUGUCGGAGGGGUAAGUGGAAUUCCUAGUGUAGCGGUGAAAUGCGUAGAUAUUAGGAGGAACACCAGUGGCGAAGGCGGCUUACUGGACGAUUACUGACGCUGAGGCUCGAAAGCGUGGGGAGCAAACAGGAUUAGAUACCCUGGUA